AUCUAGAUAGCUUAUAUUAAGAGCAUGACACUGAAGAUGUUAGGGAAACCUAAGGUUUCUAGAUA
rnacentral:tRNA from 2 species